UCGCCCGCACUUUCCUUUCUUUAAGUGCGUAAUUUUAAAUAAAGCUUUCUCACUGCCUUAACUUACUGCAUUUUGUCUCCCUGCACUCUUCCAGUGGUAAGCAUCUUUGUUUCUUGGCCAUUUCAUUCUGUUUCCAAGUCUUCACUCUGUCUGCACUUUACUCCUGAUAAGUAGGGAGGGGCUGCCAAGAGCUCUGAUUUGGGCCUGCAAGUUGCCUGGGUGACCCAGAUGGAACUGCCCCUGCACAAUCUGCUCUUUAAAAAUAUUCAAAAUGAGCUCUGCAUAACAUCUGCAUCAGAGUCACAUGGUUUGUCUGAACUUAAGAGGCCAGUGUUGCAUCGCAGACCUAUUGGACCAAGUCUUGGUGUGAAGCUGGGGAAGAUGAAUUUGUUUUGCAUUCAUCGUUAAACUGCAUUAUGUAA